AAAAAAAAAAAAAAAAAGAAAUGUGCUUAACAUAGCAGGUGGCGUGUAGUUUAGUAGCCAAUGAAUGGCGGUGAUUAUUAGAAUAUUAUUAUCGCUCUACUGAUGUGACUGUAAUAAAAGGCACUGACUUAGUUGGGAACAUCUUUAAAGCUUUAACUGUAACAACCAGAAUAAAAAUUCCAAGUAUCUGGCCAGGUGCAGGGGCUCAUGCCAGUAAUCCCAACACUUUGGGAGGCCAAGCAUUAGUCACUGCGCCCAGCCCCACCAUACAAUUUCUUUACUUUUGAUGUUGCCUCUUCAUUGUCCUGAGACACACACACACACACACACACAUACACACACACACAGACAGACAAACACACACAUCCUUUAAGUAUUCAUGGCCCAUCUGUUUCUUAAAACUCUGGAAACACAGGCACACCCACCAAAAGAUAGGACUGAAAGGUUUGAGAGGGGAGUGAGCAGAUUUCUAAAAAUAAUUUCUGAUGCUUGCCCAGGGAAUACACCAAGAAAUAGAAUCCUGUAAGAAACUGGAAUCAUGAUCGAGCAUGUGCUUCAGACGAUUCUGUGCCUUUCUUGAACUCUUGUGUGAUAAAGAUGUUGGAUCCUCGAAGAUGAAGGCCAUUAACCGCCUGCCUGGAAGUUCAGAAUAGGCUGGGCCAGUUAGGGGUCAUGGGUGAUACUGAGGCAACUGGCCUUUGUAUUUCCCACGGUCUGGGGUAUUGUGCAUUCAGAUGGGAGUGUGGUAGAUGGGCAAAGACCUCUGGCUAACUCGCACACCUCCCUCAAGUAGCCUCAGCUCAGCCUAAGUAGAAGGAAGCAGUUGUUUCUCUGGGCCUUUAAAUCACAUUCCUCCAUGAAAAGAUGAACUUUCUAGUCCUCUCGUUAUUGUAAAUCACCUACCCUCUGAUGGCUUUAAACAAACGCAUACUUAUCUGGUCACAAACAUUUUAUCCUUUCUUCCUCUUAUCACUUUUCAUAACUGCAUUUAAAAAAUUUGCUCAAGUAAUAUGUUCAUUGUAGGAAAAAACACAGAUGAGCGAAAAAGAAGAAAAUGAAAAUCGUCCCUACAAUCAUCCUACCUAGAGAUUAACUAUUGUUAACAUUUUCAACUUAGUUUCCAUCUGUACAGAUGUUUUAUACAAUAUUUUACAUAGAGUGUUAUCAUAUUGCAUGGACUUUUUGUGGUCCACUUCUUUCACCUAGAAUAUGUUGGGAGCAUCUUUCUACGUCAAUAAGUCUCCCUCUUUACUACAGUCUGUCUUUAUGUGUCACGUGUAUUUGGCUCUCUUUAAAAAAUUCUGGUGGAAUGAUGAGGACUCAUGGGUUGUAGUCAUGAUGUUCCUUGAGUUAAACUCUUUCUAAAGAUCUAACGUUCCAAAGACCAGGCCAGGAGUGAUGAGAAGGCAGUCAGCAGUCUUGAAUUCAAGGGCUCCCUGUUUGCAGCAAUUUUCACCCAGAGGGAGUAGUCUGCCUCCGGGUUUCCUACUACAGUAGGAAAGUGAGUUCUUCUCAGCCCUAAGAGUGGCAGACAAUGCUUUAGGGUACCACUGAGUGGAUACAUGCAGUCCUAGGACCCAGCAAAAGUGACUUGGAAAGAGGAGGAGGAAAAGAAGGGAGAAGAAGAGGGAAGACCAAUUGAAAUGAAAAACAAAACAAAUAAUAAAGGGGAUGAAAGAAGCCAAGAUUCUGGCUUUGACUGGAACAAAGUGGUACCGGCCUGAGCCACCUCAGGUUGCCCUCCUCUGAGGGAAUAUGAGCUUCUCCAGUGAGGUCACGGCAAGGCCCUGCACUCCUAGUUAAAUGCUUGCUUGCUCCUCACUGUCAAGCCUUUCAAAUAUUCACAUCUGGGCUGCAUUACCAAGAGGCCCAUAUGUUUGUGGAAUAUAAUUUAUGGCAACCAGAUAACAACCCCCAGCCUGGGGAAGUCCCCCAGAAACCUGGUGGAGUUUGGACUCCUAUGGAAAUAGAGAACUGGUUAAAUAAAUUAUGGUACCUAAAUAAAUUAUGGUGCGUCUAUACACACAGAGGUCACACACAUAUUUAGCACACCUCUUUGAGAUUUUAUAACUGGAAAAAAGAAGACAAAAGUUUAAUCUUGAAGUCAUAAAGGGAACACUACAUGCCUUUGCUUUACAUAUUUUCUUUUCUCUGUGCAGAAGCAGCAUAUGUUUCUGAGCUGCUCCCUCUAUCCUGGGGAAUAUAAACCAGAUAUUUAUUAACCCUUCAAAUCUGUAGUACCUCAGGGUUUAGCUCAGGAGUAAAUGAGACAAUACUUGUCAAAUAGCCUAGGGCCUGCUGCAGAGUUUAUGCUACGUUUCGGUACAGAGAAAACUUCUUGAGAGCAAGAUCUCAUGGAAUUUUUCUUUUUCAUAAAUGCUACAAUAAAAAAAAAAUUCCUUACAUUUGCAUAAUGUUUUGCAAAAUCAUUUUGUAUCCCCUGCUCUCUCUUCAAUUCUCAUAACCAACUUGUACCAUCUCCGGUGAAUGUGGAGUGAGACUCAGUCUGGUCCACCCCAAUCACCUCUGGCCUGGACCAUUGCAACAGUUUCCUAACUGGUCUUGCUGUGCCCUCCUGCCCCGUUCCAGUCUGUCCUCAAUCCAGCAGCCAGAGUGAGUCUGUUUAAAAUGGAAAUUGGUUAUGCUCUCAAGCUCAAAACCCGUAGGCCCCAAUGCCCUACAGGCCAACCCCAUGCCAACUCCUACUCAUUUCCCUUUUGUAGGUUCUCUCCAGAUACAUGACUUCCUUCCAGGGGCUGGUACACACCAGGCAUGCUCUUGCCAACCUGUCUGUGCACCUGCUGUUCCCCUGGCCUGGAAGAAACUUCCCCAGAAAUGGCCCUGGGUCCUGGGUCCUUGUCUCAUCUCCUGUAUGCCUUUGCUCAAUGCCACCUCCUUUGGGAGGCCUUCCCUGACCACUGUAUUUAGAAUUGCAGCCCCAGCUUUGCUAAUAUUCCCUUUUCCUCCUCCCUAAUGGAACUUCCUCCAUAACCCCUCACAUAAGAUGCUUUGCAGGUUUACUUUACUUAGUGUCAGUCUCUUUCCAUUAGGCUGUAGGCUUUAUAGCCGCAGGAUUUUUGUCAUUUUCUUCUACCACUGCUAGAUUUCCAUAGGGCCAGGCACGUAGCAGGAAAUCAGCAACUAUUUAUCAGAUGAAUGGACAAACUGUUAUUCUACAAUGAAUGCAUUUGUUUAUGUGUAUGCAGACUAUGAUGGUAGAGAUUUUUGCCUUCUUCACUAUUGGUUCCUCAGACCUAGAAUGGGGCAGAGCACAACGUAGCAAAACUCUAAUACAUAAUGAAUGAAGGAAGGAAGAAAUGUUUCUUCACAGCUUGGUGUAGCUCCUUUCAGGAAUUUUCUCAGUAUUUAUAGAUCUAUAUAUGUUUAUAAAACAUACCAACUUCAAAAAACCUCAAUGUGAUCACUUGAACUUCCCAUGGCAUAAAUAGUAAUCUCUGUUUUACAGAAGGAUACUCAUUCCCUAUCUUUUUCAGAUAUAAUGUAUCUUUUCUCCUCAGAUGCAUGAGCGAUGAGAUACAUGACAACAUCCCUGAUAACACUGACUUAUUAAAGUAAUGAUUUAUAAGAGGAGGGGUGGAGAGAGGGCUGGACAAUGCACCCCUCCCUCCAUGGCACUAUAUCAGAAUCUGGGCUAGGAAUGUGGAGUUGGAGGGGAGUAACUGUGUAGUUUGAAAAAUUUCCCAAGAUGAUUCAGAUAUGCCCUGCCUCGCCUUCUGGAGAAGCUCUGAAUUGCAACGUACUUUUUCAUCUAAUCUCUUUUGUUAAAGUGAUUCAUCGUUUACUAUAAAAGUGCCACCAUAACCUACUGAACCUAUCUUCAUUGUUGGCAUUAGGACUUCUAAUUGUUUGCGUUGAAAAUAACAGCGGUACACAUGCUUUAUGCUAUCACUGAAGGGACUUCUUUUUCAUUGUGCAUUAACUAUUUGGUGACCACACACCUCAGUGUCCAUGAAUGAGGGGCUUCUGUGCUCCAUGUUCCAGUGCAUGCAGCAGUACUGUGCUGACGCAAGAGGUGAGGACCCCAAUCUCAAAAGAGGUCCCCUGCACUUCCAGAGGCUCC